GACGAACGCUGGCGGCGCGCCUAACACAUGCAAGUCGAACGGAGUCAAGAGGAGCUUGCUUUUCUUGACUUAGUGGCGAACGGGUGAGUAACGCGUGAGUAACCUGCCCUGGAGUGGGGGACAACAGUUGGAAACGACUGCUAAUACCGCAUAAGCCCACGGAUCUGCAUGGAUCUGCGGGAAAAGGAUUUAUUCGCUCUAGGAUGGACUCGCGUCCAAUUAGCUAGUUGGUGAGAUAACGGCCCACCAAGGCGACGAUUGGUAGCCGGACUGAGAGGUUGAACGGCCACAUUGGGACUGAGACACGGCCCAGACUCCUACGGGAGGCAGCAGUGGGGGAUAUUGCACAAUGGGGGAAACCCUGAUGCAGCGACGCCGCGUGGAGGAAGAAGGUUUUCGGAUUGUAAACUCCUGUCGUUAGGGACGAUAAUGACGGUACCUAACAAGAAAGCACCGGCUAACUACGUG
rnacentral:rRNA from 1 species